UUACUCGAGGAUUUGUUUGAAGCUGUAAUCAGUCGGUUCCGCCAUUAACGGUGUGCUUCGAUCUAUGAUCAGUUUGGCAUGGUGAUUUCUAAUGUGAUUCUGUUCGAAGAAGGUUAUUUUUAUGGCGUCUCAAUCAACUCCUACGAUGAUGGCUGUGAAUGUGCAGAGUUCAGUGCAUCCUAUGAGAUCCCACUCUGGAAGAGCAAGAAUUCUAACCAGUGUCAGGACCUACGGGCCAAGGGACAGUCUCAAGUAGACAGUUUCUAUGGGGCGAGACCUCCCAAACGGUAAUGGAGGCGUGCAAAGGUUUCCUCGGGCCAGACGGAGAUUGGCCCUCGAGUGCAAAGGCAGAAGGGAGCUUGACUGCAAGACCCACCCGUCGAGCAGGGACGAAAGUCGGCCUUAGUGGUCCGACGGUGCCGAGUGGAAGAGUUGUGGCUCAAUGGAUAAAAGUGACUCUAGGGAUAACAGGCUGAUCUUCCCCAAGAGCUCACAUCGACGGGAAGGUUUGGAGUAUAUAGUUGUCGACUUUGUUAUUAGUAGAAAAUUGAAUUCACAUAGAAAGACACGAAAAAGAUAUGCAAAUGGUUGACAGGUUUUAUCCCUUGACAGAAAAUUGCUGAUUUUUUCUUUUAAUGAGAUAACCUUAAAGGGAUUUUUCCUGGAAGGUCAAUUACAGAUGCAAGGUUAUUAUUCGAUGGUACAGAAUUUUGGGACGAACUAUUUGUGGAACGGUGGCGGUUCAGCAUCUUGGAGGAGGCAGCAAGAUAAUGUGAGAAUACAUAAGCAGCCAAUUAGUCGGCCAUGGGUUCUCAAUGCCAGAAGCAGCUGAAGAUAUCAGAGGUCUAAAUCAAACUGUCCAGACUGAAACAUUGUCAUUUGAUCAGACUUCCACUUUUGGCUAGUUAGUUGCAAGAGGUUCUUAAAAAUGGGACACCAGGUUUAGGACGAAUUCAGGACUCUGAAUGAAAUACGAGUUACAGGCAAACGAUUUGCAUGGGAUGGGAUAAAGUAACCAUGAGGAGAAUUCUCAUCUGUCAGUUCAAUGGACGCUUCAAGUCAAGUCUGAUUACUGUGAUACUUCUAUUGCAAUGUGAGUAUCAAAAUUUCUAUUCAACAACACUGUCUAUAGAUCUCCGAGAUACUCAUCUGUAUGCAAGGUCACUAUCAUGCAUCUGUUUAAUCUAUUAACCCAUUUAGGUGUCACUAUCCGUUUAGAGGUCCUAAUUAUACCAUUUUUCCUCAACCAUUUUCUCGAUUAUAAGUUUAAUAGUGGAACAAAAUCCUUCUUAAAUUGAAAGAUCUUUUAUCAUUUUGUGGAAAAUUUACGAAGUUUACCCGCAAGUCUUUUGGUCAAUUAUGGAUUAGUCCAGCAACAUCUAAUCUGAUCAGUCCAACAUUAUGAUGAUUAUUAUUGCAAUCUCUUGACUUUUUUGUUAUAUUUGUUACACUUU